rnacentral:rRNA from 1 species
CUUUAAGGGUCCUGAAGGAACGUUGAAGACGACGACGUUGAUAGGCCGGGUGUGUAAGCGCAGCGAUGCGUUGAGCUAACCGGUACUAAUGAACCGUGAGGCUUAACCUUACAACACCGAAG